UGUCAGUCAUUCCAACAAGUUGACUUAGCGCUCAGUCACUUUCCAUCCAAUAGAUGAUAUGGCUGUUUCUACUUCUGUUUAGAAGGCAACCCAGUUGAGGGAAAGAGUUUCAGUGACAUGAAGAGUGUGACGUGAAUAAUGCCAUGUGUAUGCAUACACGUUCCAGUUCUGCUUGAUGCCUUACUAAAUUCAUCACCUGUAUGAUAAAAGUAAGCAUCAAUACCACCUAUCACCAUGCUACUGCAAGACUUCAUGACACCUUCUUAAGCAUCAUGGAAUUUAUCUCAACAUGAUGAGUAAUCCUGUUGGUUGCUGUGAAUUCCAAUUUUACGGUUUUUUCAUCAAGAAAAUUGCAGUGUGCUUCUUAGAAAAGAGCACAUAAGAGAUCCUUAAGCCAAUGCUGAUCAUUCUCCAUGA